UUCGGGGUGUAAAGCUCUUUCGACCGGAACGAUAAUGACGGUACCGGGAGAAGAAGCUGCGGCUAACUACGUGCCAGCAGCCGCGGUAAUACGUAGGGCGCAAGCGUUAUCCGGAAUUAUUGGGCGUAAAGAGCUCGUAGGCGGUUUGUCGCGUCUGCCGUGAAAGUCCGGGGCUCAACUCCGGAUCUGCGGUGGGUACGGGCAGACUAGAGUGAUGUAGGGGAGACUGGAAUUCCUGGUGUAGCGGUGAAAUGCGCAGAUAUCAGGAGGAACACCGAUGGCGAAGGCAGGUCUCUGGGCAUUAACUGACGCUGAGGAGCGAAAGCAUGGGGAGCGAACAGGAUUAGAUACCCUGGUAGUCCAUGCCGUAAACGUUGGGCACUAGGUGUGGGGGACAUUCCACGUUUUCCGCGCCGUAGCUAACGCAUUAAGUGCCCCGCCUGGGGAGUACGGCCGCAAGGCUAAAACUCAAAGGAAUUGACGGGGGCCCGCACAAGCGGCGGAGCAUGCGGAUUAAUUCGAUGCAACGCGAAGAACCUUACCAAGGCUUGACAUGAACCGGACCGCUGCAGAAAUGUGGUUUCCCCUUUGGGGCUGGUUUACAGGUGGUGCAUGGUUGUCGUCAGCUCGUGUCGUGAGAUGUUGGGUUAAGUCCCGCAACGAGCGCAACCCUCGUUCUAUGUUGCCAGCACGUGAUGG
rnacentral:rRNA from 1 species